GACUGGUUUUACUGAUUCCUCCCUCUUGAAGAACUGUAAUGCCAUUAAUUUGGUGUUGCAGGGAAUCAGGACUGUUACUUUGAAAAAAUUAGAGUGUUUAAAGCAGGCUUUAGCUUGAAUACAUUAGCAUGGAAUAAUGAAAUAGGACGUUUGAUCCUAUUUUGUUGGUUUCUAGGAUUGACGUAAUGAUUAAUAGGGAUAGUUGGGA
rnacentral:rRNA from 1 species